CCUCGUUGGAGGAAGGGUGUCACUGUGGGGGUGGGCUUUGAGGACUCCUAUGCUUAAGAUAUGCCCAGUGUCUCAGUUCACUUCCUGCUGCCUGCUGAUCAAGAUGCAGAACUCUCAGCUCCUUCUCCAGCACGUGUCUGCCUGCACGCCACCAUGUCACAGCAUGAUGAUAAUGGACUGAACCUCUGAAAAUAGGACCUCGGGAUCAUUUCCAGCACCCACACGGCGGCUCACAACUGUCUGUAACUCCAGUCCCAGGGAUUCGCCACACUCUUCUGACCUCCACAGGCGCCAGACACACAUGUGGCGCAUACAAGCAAAACACUCAUACACAUAAACGUUCAGAAGCCCCGGGUCUGAAAUCACGCGCUGAGCAAUGGAUGUUUCCAGGAUUUCAAACUCUGUCAAGCCCUUAGCAUCUUAUCCUGUUAAUCCCAGCAUGGUAUGGGGUGGGGGCUGCCAUGAAGGAAUUUGAGCCCAGAUAUCAUCUCUGAAACAGUUUUUUUAAAAGCCUUAAUGUAGAAGAUUGUUGAGUAUCAUACAAAUGUUACCACAGAUAACAGCACAAACAACACUGUCUCAGAUGUCUUGAAACUGUACAUGGGGGUGUCUAAUUUCUUCAAGAAAAUGAUUGUGCUAUGCCUUAGAGAAGCCAAGAAAACAUUAGUUAUUGGGAUAUUUUCCUGAUAAGAAAGAAAUCUACUUACUUCGGACACCGAUAUAGAUCUUUUCACAUUUUCUUCUGUUUCUGACCAUUAAACAUGGGAAACCUAUAAAUGGCCCUGGGUUCUGUCCAUCAACAGUUCUCUCUAAACUAAGAAAGUACCAUUGGCCUGGCCCUGGGUCUUUAAACCAGUAACUUGCAGCCUGGACUAGUUCUUACUGGAAAUAAAUAAAUAAACCAACAGACAUGGCGACAUUCCUGAAUGACAAGUCAGAGCAGACAGAAAAGAAAAUCUGAGAAAAGAGCUGUCAUUUCUACACCAUUGUUUUCCCAUGCUUUAUACUGGUCCUUAGCCUAACACAGCAAAGUGAAGGCAGGAACUGGAGGCUGCUUGGUAUUUAUGUUGCCGUUGGAGAAAAAAUUUUACAGUGGAAUAAAAUCUGGGUUUGGGCUCUGUGGUCUGAUAAACGUGGAGGCAUGAUGCUGGGUGUCUUCCUCUGUUGCUCUCCACCAUGUUGCCUGAACACAGGAUUGUCUUUGAACCAGGAGUGUUAGUGGUCAGGUUUGGCCGACUCACCUUAACCCACUGAGCCAUGUUGCUGGCACCCGUGUUCCUUAUAGAGCUUUUGGUUAGCUCAGUGUGAAGACAGUUUAUCUACCGCCUUCCUGGGAGGAAAUGACCAGACUUCUAAGAUGAACAAACUGCAAAAAUGGUAUAAAAAAUAGUAGUGCAAACACCGCUACUGAAACUUAUGGGGUCAUUUGGUGGUGCUGGUCUUUGAGACAGGCUGGCCUAAGUCUCCAUUUUUCCACUUCCCAACAGGUGGGUGUCACUUUGUUUAGCCUACUAGACGGUUUUAUUUGUUUUUAACCUCAAGUAUUGCUAGAAAGUAAUUACUACCACCAUGAGGGAAGAGAGUCAAAGUAGUAAACUGGAUUGAACAACAAGAACACCUAUUUUCCCAUGUCCACCCUUUCCCCCACGGCAGCCAUUUCUUCACUUCUCUGCUAAGCACCCCCUCUUAGUCCUCCUCUCCAUCCCCUCUAUAGUUAGAGAAACCCUCACUAUUGGCUACUCAUUCACUUCAGAUGCUGCUGCUAAAGGAGAGACAAAGUCACGAUAGCAAUUCACACAAUAAGCUAUUCUGCUUGCCAUGCAAGAAGCAUUCACCAAUGGUGCCUCAGAGGCCAAAUCUUGCUCCCCGGGCAACACAGGAUAAGUUCACCAGACCUGGUGCAAAUACCCUGCUGAACAUUAGUCAAAAAGUCUUGGGGCUGGAGAGAUGGCUCAGCUGUUAAGAGCACUUGCUGCUCUUCCAGAGGACCCGAGUUCAGUUCCCAGCACCCAUGGCAGGUGGCUCACAAACAGCUGUGACUCUAGUUCCAAAGGAUGCAGUGCCCUCUUCUGGCCUCCAUGGGCACCUGCAUUGGUGCAUGCAUAUGUACCCAUAAACACACACACACACACACACACACACACACACACACACACACACACACACGGACAUUUAAAAAAAAUAGGAGAGUUUGGGUACCCAGCAUGGGUCCAUCAUGGUUGGAUUGUUCAAAGCUUAUUGUUUAUCAGAACUCAUUUUUAAUCAUAGGAUCCAUUUUUCAAUAGUUAAACUAAUUGAAAAAAUGUAAAUGAACCUGAUUUGCUCAGCUUAUGGUUUGUUUGUUUGUUUUUGAGAAAAGGUUUUGCUAAAUAUGUAGGGUAAGAACACCCUGACCCUGACUUGAUCACAAGCCCAAGACCAGGGCCAAGAAGAAAAAAAAAAAAGGAUCCCUGCCACCACAGGCAGAAGUCUUAGCUGUGGCCUUCAAGGUGCACAAUGGGGGGCUGGAGAGAUGGCUCAGAGAUUAAGCUCUUCCAGAGGUCCUGAUUUCAAUUGAUGGUUUACAACCAUCUAUAAUGAGAUCUGGUGCCCUCUUCUGGUGUGCAGGAAUACAUGCAGGCAAAAGGUGCACCAUGGGAGAGAUGAAAACACCCCUUGUAAACCAUUCCAACCAUGUCCAAGGUACCAUCAAGAGGGACACUAGAUUGCUGACUGUCCUUAUGUCCCUUGAGGCAUGGGUAGAUUGCCCUCCAGCAGAGCCGACUUCCUAGGCCUGGCCGUGGACAACUGAGGGGACCUCAGGCUUCUUUGGCCUGAUCACCGCCACCUCCAGCAGGGCACCUUGGGUCGUCAUCACACUCUCAGAGUGGCCCAUCUUCCUUGGGACACUGGGGCCACCUUUUUGGUCCUGAUGGAGUCUGGGUGACCCACUCUCAUUACUCUAUUGUCAGAGUAGAGGGAUGGCUUACCAGCCUCACCAAACCCCACCACUUAGCUGUAUCUUUAGGGGAUAUUCCCUUCACCCACUCCUUCCUUGUGGUACCAACCUGUCCCAUUCCUGUGUGGGAAGUCUCUUUUUCCUUUGCUCACCCAUCUGCUUGACCCCAGUUUCCUGGCCAGUCUGCUCUUCCUCCUCCACACCACACAAUCUGACACACUUUCUCCCUUAAUGACUUUCAGGUGAAUCCCCUUGUAUGGGACACCCAAAACACCUCUAUAGCCAAACAUAAUCCCCCUUCCAUCAUUCGAUUACAAAACCCCAUCAAAUAUAUUAUCAAGGCUCAAUACCCACACUCCAAAGCCUCAUGGGACUUAAGCCUCUCAUCUCUGACCUUCUAAGAAAAAAAACUUCUACGCCUCACGUCUUCCCCCUUUAACCCUUGCAUAUUCUCAGUUAAAAAAAAAAAUCUACCACUUGUGUAAGGGGCCGUUUCCUGCAUUAUAAUGGUGCCUGAAGACACCAAGAUGUAAGAAGAUUACCUUCACAGGCGCUGGGUAAUCUCCAUUCCUUUGAUCUCUGCCUAUCCCGUGGCUCAUUUUUGCCUGAGGAGCUGAAGCCAUUCAUAGGGUAACACGUCCCAGGCGGCUGGUCAGCCUUUAUAUAGGGAUGGUUUUCUUGGUUUAGGG
ensembl:lncRNA